rnacentral:rRNA from 1 species
GACGAACGCUGGCGGCGUGCCUAAUACAUGCAAGUCGAACGCCGUUGCGAACGGGUGUGUAUCGCGUAGGUAACUUCCUCAUAGCGGGGGAUAACUAUUUGAAACGAUAGCUAAUACCGCAUACUGUGACAUGGACCUGCUUUGUAUUAGCUAGUUGGGGAGGGAAAGGCUCACCAAGGCGCCGAUCCAUAGCGGACCUGAGAGGGUGACCGGCCACACUGGAACUGAGACACGGCCCAGACUCCUACGGGAGGCAGCAGUGGGGAAUCUUCGGCAAUGGACGGAAGUCUGACCGAGCAACGCCGCGUGAGUGAAGAAGGUUUUCGGAUCGUAAAGCUCUGUUGGUAGAGAGGCGGUAACGAACAAGAAAGGGACGGCUAACUACGUGCCAGCAGCCGCGGUAAUA